UUGAACUUUCCACAUCCUGUUGUCAUCUAUCUUAUGGAUCCAUCAAAUGUUAUAAAGAUGUAUGUAUGUAUGUUUAGAUCAAUCAUGAUAUGACACCAAUAACAGCUAUGCUGAAACAUCUUGUGAAAUUGUGUCCUAUAGAUGCCUAAUACCGUAGAAACAUGAUUUGAACUGAUCUUGGUGAUUAAUAAGUAAUAAAUUAAUUAAUAAGUAAUAGAUUUAAUCUAUGUACUACACUUACCCUCCAUAGCCAAGUCUUUAUUUUUUGUCGGUUCAAUGCCGGAAAAUUGUGAUACUAUUUCCUCAUUUAUAGUCGAAUGAGAAGGUGAUAGUGAAUUGUAAAUGAUGGGGAAGAAAGCAUUCUUGGUAUAAUUUAAGGUACUAUCCCAGAAUUUGCCUGGAGGGAAUAAAGAAUCUUCAGGUUUCAUACAAACAAAGCAUUUUUGAUCACCUGAGCUAAUAUUAGUUUCUCAGGAGGGAGACUGGAGUGAGUUAUAUAUAGGCCAAAUUGGAAACAAACAUAAGUGCAUAAAUUAUUGCCCAUUCAGAUCACAAAAUUCUUCAAUGAGAAAUAAAUGAAAAUGUUUCAGUGUUUUGUGAACUGAAGAAGGACAGAAAUGCAGAAAUUACAUUUCUAAAAUUUAUUUAAGGCCUGUAACAACAAACAUUGCAGGGUUAAAUGGAAAAUUUUAACAUGGAAUAGCAAGACACUGAGAUGGAAUACUCUCACAUCAUCUGCAAUGCACUUAAGUAAGAUAACUCAAAGAAUUUAUGAUUGUAGGCCUGCAAGUCGUUCGGUCACAGAGUUGAAGGUUGCUUCUGAAUCACAGCAUGCCCAAUAACUAAUUUCUGAUUGAUUAAUUAAAACAUCAGUUUUUAUAUAAUACAAGAGUAGGUGUCCUUUCUUCGUUCCCUCCUUCCUUACUUCUUACCUUCUUCCCAUGCCUUAUUCCAAACCUGAUUUUUGAACGAGACAGCCAUGUUGCAGUGUUAUUAAAAAGGCUGCAUGCAGUCAGACUGUCAACUGGCUCUUAGUCUGUUAAUGCACAACAUACACAUUGGAAGCACUGUGUUUACGUACUAAGCGCUUGAAAGAAGAGCAGCCCACGAGAAUUGUAACACAUUGUGUGGGACUGCAUGCCAUAAAAUUUGAAGGCACAGAACGUUUACCCUGUACACAUGGUAGAUCAAAGAAAGUUUCACUUCACAUGUGCUUUACAUUGGCAGAUCCCAUGGCUACUUAAAUUAAUUAUGCUCCAGGUUGGGAAUGGGUAAAGGACGGGAUAGAGAUCACUUAGCGAUGGGUUUCGGACAAGAGGCAGCAUGAAUUCAUAGAGGGAAUUCACAGUCAGUUUUCCCUUAGUAUACUCACAUUUGAGAUGCUUGAUUCCUUUGGCCACAUUCUGAAUGCACUGUGAAUUUUGUCAAGGAAACGUAAUGGAAAAUAGGGAUGAAGAUGUGCACAAAACAUUGGACUGCGUGGAGCAGUCUCUUUGAGAGGCUCACAGCACACUCGGCUAGUUAAAAGAGUAGCCGUGUAAAUUUCCUUAAUAUGCUAGUCCUUUUAUGGUGAGGAGUUGUUAGCAUCCCACCUGAUUUCCAGCUUCCUUCCAUUUCUGGAUGCCUUCUCCUCCUGGAACCCCAGGAACUGCCAUGCAGUGGUAAAAGAUGACUUAUUAAAUUUGGUAUUGAUAAUGUAAAUUACAUUCAGCUAACUCAGGGUCAGGUACACUGACGGACUUUACACAUAAUGAAGACGUGUUUUAAUUUUUAUGGGCUUAGUCUACAUUUUAAAACAGAGAUACAUUUUAAUUGUUGUGUCUUAAUCAGACAUACUUUCUUAUCUUAUAAACAGCAUAUUAGGUAAGUUCCAGUACGGUUGAAUUUACUUGCUAAUUUGUGUCUUUCGUUAUUGGUAUUGCAGGCAUGCUCUUACAUAACUCCAGUCCUGGUGACUAAUGAAUCAUACUGAAGAGAAAAUUCUCAGCAGUGAUGAAGUUCGGGAUGUGCUGAUUGACAUUUCGGCUCCUUCAUUGUAUCAGAUGUGCCUUUGGAAUGCAACCUCUAAGGUGUGUCAUCACCUGACUGUCGCAGUAUUAUGCCGGAAUAAAGACAAUUCUGUGACAUUACUAAAUACAAGUAGGAAAAUGAACACAGUUAGAACUCCAUUCUUCACAGGCUGUAUCCUUCAGAGUAAGAUGCACUACAUUCAGAAACAGUUCCUUUACAUUCUUUCAUCCACCUCAGCUGUCAGCAAAUUAUUGUAGUUGAGGUAACGUGCCUUGCUUUCUAUGGCACGUUUUAACCUUCUCAGGAAUAGAACAAGAAAGGAUGGAAGAAUAGAAACAAAAUGAAAAUGUUAAGAUAAUCAUUCUUUAGAAGGAAGUGUUCCUGAUAAAUGAUAGUAUGAAGGAUCUUCAAAUGGGGCAAGAAUCUCGCUGGUCAUAAGUAGCAAAGUGAUGAUGCUGAGAGGCAGAGGUGGGUUGAAUGACUGCAGCUGACACUCAGGACCGUGUGAGUUGAUACAUAAGAUGAAUGCACAGUGAACACUUGUCAUAAUAAACAAUGCUCAUGAAGCAAACAAUACUUGCUGACACAGAACACAGCAAAAAUACAAUUAAGAGGGCAGUAGUUAGAGUCAUCAUUUGUUGCUAGCUACUCACUUAUCAUUCUGUCAGCAGAUGACAAUGUGGGUUACCUCUUUGAAGCUUUAAGUGAUCAGGUAUUUUGGAUAUUAAUAUUGGUAUAUAGUAAAUAUCUUUCUAUAAUCAUUUUAACUCUAAUUAAAUGUUACAAUUUUACAUUUCUUGGGUGAUAGCAGAAGCAGACGCUCUGGAUGGAGGAACUUGAUAUAACGAUAAUAAGUGUUUCACUUUGUUCCCUCUAGAUACAUCUGGAGACUUUCUGGUCAUUAGAUUCUAAAAUGCAGUGGAAUCUGACCGAUAUGCUGAUGGUAAUAAUAAAUGGACAUUGCAAAUUGUGUCAUAAUGCCGUAAUGUGUAUGUGUGCUGUUAUCGCAUAAUUAAAUGAAUAAAGUUUUGAUGAAAUUACAGUAAUUCCA